rnacentral:rRNA from 1 species
UGCCGCCCUGAAGGGCGUAUGGUGGAUGCCUUGGCAGACAGUACCGAUGAAGGACGUUUGAGGAUGCGAUAAGCCUCGGGGAGCCUCCAACAUGGCUUCGAUCCGAGGAUUUCCGAAUGGGGCAACCCGCCGGCCGUCAUGGGCCGGCACGGAACCUUGUUGUUCCGGGGGUACGCAGGGAAGUGAAACAUCUCAGUACCUGCAGGAAGGGAUACUCCGUGAGUAGUGGCGAGCGAAAGCGGAUCAGACCAAACCAUGGGCGCGUGAUACCCGUCGGGGGUUGCGUCCGUGGUGUUGUGGGAGCGUGUGUCCCGGUUCCGACGGACCGGGCGGGAGUCAUAAAACGGCUUGCCAGGGGAACAGGCUUGAAGGCCUGGCCGCAGAGGGUGCCAGCCCCGUACCUGGAAGCUUGCCGUCUUCCGAUCAUGUGUCCCAAGUAGCGCGGGCCUCGUGGAAUCCCGUGUGAAUCGGCCCCGACCGUGGGGUAAGUCUAAGCAUACCUGUCUGACCGAUAGCGUACCAGUACCGUGAGGGAAAGGUGAAAAGCACCCCGGGAGGGGAGUGAAAGAGUUCCUGAAACCGUGCGCCUACAAUCCGUCGGAGCCUCCUCAAGUGGGGUGACGGCGUGCCUAUCGAAAAAUGAGUCUGCGAGUCAGUGGUGCGUGGCGAGGCUAACCCGUCGUGGGGGAGCCGUAGCGAAGGCGAGUCUCAAAAGGCGUUUUGAGUCGCGUGCCCUGGACCCGAAGCGGGAUGAUCUAGCCCUGGGCAGGUUGAAGCGCGGGUAAGACCGCGUGGAGGACCGAACCCACCUGGGUUGAAAACCGGGGGGAUGACUUGGGGCUAGGGGUGAAAGGCCAAUCAAAUUCCGUGAUAGCUGGUUCUCUCCGAAAUGCAUUUGGGUGCAGCGUCGGGUCAUUACGUCCCGGGGGUAGAGCUACUGGAUGCUUGCGGGCCCGUAUGGGGUACCAACAGCAGCCAAACUCCGAAUACCGUUGAUGUGUAUUCCGGCAGUGAGUCGGCGGGGGAUAAGCUCCGUCGUCGAGAGGGAGACAGCCCAGAUCGUCGUCUAAGGUCCCGAAGCGUGUGCUAAGUGGGAAAGGAUGUGGAGUCGCAUAGACAGCCAGGAGGUUGGCUCAGAAGCAGCCAUCCUUGAAAGAGUGCGUAACAGCUCACUGGUCUAGUGGUUCCGCGCCGACAAUGUAGCGGGGCUCAAGCACACCACCGAAGACGCGGCAGUAUUUUGUACUGGGUAGGAGAGCGUCCCAUGAGGGGCGAAGCGGCCGUGUGAACGCGCCGUGGACUUCAUGGGAGUGAGAAUGCAGACAUGAGUAGCGAGAGACGGGUGAGGAUCCCGUCCGCUGGAUGACCAAGGGUUCCGGGGCCACGUUCGUCGUCCCCGGGUGAGUCGGGUCCUAAGGCGAGGCCGACAGGCGUAGUCGAAUGGAUGAACGGGUGGAUAUUCCCGUACCGGCAGCGAACCGCAAGAGCCGAACGGAUGAGUACUAACCUCCGGUCGCGUGGCGUCGUUCCCUUCGGGGUUCGGGGCGUGCGAUUGUUGGGAAUGUAGUCCUGGUAGGUUAGCGCACAGGGGUGACACGGAAUGGGAGCCGGCCGCGGAGGUGGUUUUCCGUGGUCAAGCACGCAGCCCGUCCCAUAGGCAAAUCCGUGGGACAUGGGGGUGAGGUGCGAUGAUGGGCGCCUUCAUGGCGCGAUAUCCGGUGGUCCAGGCCGUCGAGAAAAGCCUCGGCGCGAGGGGCGUUGCCGCCCGUACCCCAAACCGACACUGGUGGUCAGGUAGAGAAUACCAAGGCGAUCGAGCGAAUCCUGGUCAAGGAACUCGGCAAAUCACUCCCGUGCCUUCGGUAUAAGGGAGACCCCUGAUGGUGAUGGAACUUGCUUCCGGAGCUUUCGGGGGUGGCACAGACCAGGGGGUAGCGACUGUUUACCAAAAACACAGGUGCAUGCGAAGGCGCAAGCCGCUGUAUAUGCACUGACGCCUGCCCGGUGCCGGAAGGUUAAGAGGAUCCGUCAGCCUUCGGGUGAAGCGGUGAAUUCAAGCCCCGGUAAACGGCGGUGGUAACUAUAACCAUCCUAAGGUAGCGAAAUUCCUUGUCGGGUAAGUUCCGACCUGCACGAAUGGCGUA